rnacentral:rRNA from 1 species
GUGGCGGACGGGUGAGUAACGCGUAGGAAUAUACCUUAAAGUGGGGGAUAACUUGGGGAAACACAAGCUAAUACCGCGUAAGCUCUACGGAGUAAAGCAGGGGACCUUCGGGCCUUGCGCUUUAAGAAUAGCCUGCGUCUGAUUAGCUAGUUGGUGGGGUAAAGGCCUACCAAGGCGAUGAUCGGUAGCUGGUCUGAGAGGAUGGACAGCCACACUGGGACUGAGACACGGCCCAGACUCC